UACGAGGGGGGCGAGCGUUGUUCGGAAUUAUUGGGCGUAAAGCGUGCGCAGGCGGUUUGUUAAGUCCGUUGUGAAAGCCCCGAGCUCAACUUGGGAAUUGCAGUGGAUACUGGCAGGCUGGAGUACGGUAGAGGAAGGUGGAAUUCCCGGUGUAGCAGUGAAAUGCGUAGAUAUCGGGAGGAACACCAGUGGCGAAGGCGGCCUUCUGGACCAGUACUGACGCUCAUGCACGAAAGCGUGGGGAGCAAACAGG
rnacentral:rRNA from 1 species